rnacentral:rRNA from 1 species
GGUCUCAAGCGUUGUUCGGAUUCAUUGGGCGUAAAGGGUGCGUAGGCGGCGCGGUAAGUCGGGUGUGAAAUCUCGGAGCUUAACUCCGAAACUGCAUUUGAUACUGCGGUGCUUGAGGACUGGAGAGGAGACUGGAAUUUAUGGUGUAGCAGUGAAAUGCGUAGAUAUCAUAAGGAAGACCAGUGGCGAAGGCGGGUCUCUGGACAGUUCCUGACACUGAGGCACGAAGGCCAGGGGAGCAAACGGG